rnacentral:rRNA from 1 species
GACGAACGCUGGCGGCGUGCCUAAUACAUGCAAGUAGAACGCUGAAGCUUGGUGCUUGCACCGAGCGGAUGAGUUGCGAACGGGUGAGUAACGCGUAGGUAACCUGCCUGGUAGCGGGGGAUAACUAUUGGAAACGAUAGCUAAUACCGCAUAAGAGUAGAUGUUGCAUGACAUUUGCUUAAAAGGUGCAAUUGCAUCACUACCAGAUGGACCUGCGUUGUAUUAGCUAGUUGGUGAGGUAACGGCUCACCAAGGCGACGAUACAUAGCCGACCUGAGAGGGUGAUCGGCCACACUGGGACUGAGACACGGCCCAGACUCCUACGGGAGGCAGCAGUAGGGAAUCUUCGGCAAUGGACGGAAGUCUGACCGAGCAACGCCGCGGGAGUGAAGAAGGUUUUCGGAUCGUAAAACUCUGUUGUAAGAGAAGAACGAGUGUGAGAGUGGAAAGUUCACACUGUGACG